rnacentral:rRNA from 1 species
AGUGAACGCUGGCGGUAGGCCUAACACAUGCAAGUCGAACGGCAGCACAGUAAGAGCUUGCUCUUACGGGUGGCGAGUGGCGGACGGGUGAGGAAUACAUCGGAAUCUACUUUUUCGUGGGGGAUAACGUAGGGAAACUUACGCUCAUACCGCAUACGACCUACGGGUGAAAGCAGGGGAUCUUCGGACCUUGCGCGAUUGAAUGAGCCGAUGUUGGAUUAGCUAGUUGGCGGGGUAAAGGCCCACCAAGGCGACGAUCCGUAGCUGGUCUGAGAGGAUGAUCGGCCACACUGGAACUGAGACACGGUCCAGACUCCUACGGGAGGCAGCAGUCGGGAAUAUUGGACAAUGGGCGCAAGCCUGAUCCAGCCGUACCGCGUGGGUGAAGAAGGCCUUCGGGUUGUAAAGCCCUUUUGUUGGGAAAGAAAAGCAGCAGGUUAAUACCCCGCUGUUCUGACGGUACCCAAAGAAUAAGCACCGGCUAACUUCGUG